GGAGAACUGCUGUAGCUUCCUAAAUAAGGCUUUUGAAAGAGCCAGUGGUUUGUCAGAAAAACACGUGACUAGAAUCCCUCUUUAUUGGCAACAGUACCUUGGGCAAGUCAUUUCAAUUCUUUGAACUUUGCUUCCUUCUCCUUAAAAAAAGUUCUACACCUGUCUGCCUUUCCCAUAGGCUGUGGUGAAGUCAAUUGAGACAGUUCCUGUGGAAGGACUUCGAAGCAGCAAAGGCAUAUGAGAAUGUCAGAUGUUAAAAGUAGUUCAGAGCAUGUGGCUAUCAUUGAGCCCUAUCAUUCCUGAAAUAUAGUUACCAAAAGUGAAGUUUUAAAAGGAAGACUUUUCUUGAUAAUUUUACAAAUAUUAUCUUGGUUCUCCUAAGAUUUCUAAAUAAUCAACGAAAAGAGAAUAAGGAAACCUCUUAUGACCUAGAUCUUUUGAGCUUAUAUUUGAGUAAGGGAAACAAUGAAGAAACAAGAUAAUUUCAAGUAGAAGCCCUAUAAAAAUAUAAUAAUAUGAGAGAAAAUGAUGGUGAUUCACAAUUACAUGACCUAAGGCGGGAAGAUGGAAUUUGAGCUGAGAUCUGAAUGAGAGCCACCAUUUGGAAUGUACAGAGAGAGGAUGUGGAAAUCUUACGGUGCAAAUAAAAGGAAGAAAAGAAAAAAGUAUGAAGAAUAUUGUGGACAGAAUAUUGUGGAAGGCAGGAUCAAGCUAGGCAGAUUCAGUGAAGAGUGGGAGCAUCAUCUUCCAGCUACCUAUUGAGCCCCUGUGCUGUACCAGGCCACAUGUGAGGUGCCACGUCUUCCAUGGUAAAGAAGACAGAUAUGACUCCUGCCCUAUGGGAGCACGCAGCUACAAGACUGUGUGUACCACAAACAUAACCCUUCCAACUUUACCACUGGGUAAGUGAUGCAAUUUGAAGAAUAGAGAAUUCAAUAUAUCAAAGUCAACAUAUGAAAAAUCUCUCUCACCCACCUACGCCCACAAUGAAAAAGCCCUCUGUGAUUCCAUCCAACCCUUUUGCGCAGAGGCCAGACCCAGGAUUCAGUGUCCAGCUUGGGCAUGCAUAGCCUGUGCCAGCAUGGGCACAGCAGAGGUCUGCACACAUGGGAAGAUAGAUCAAAGGCCUCCUGCCAUUUUUUCUCUCCAGAGUGUUCCAGCAAGAACAUCCCCUUCUAGCUAUUUCACACAUGGACAGCCGAGAAAUAGACAGUCAUUUACAGAGCAUUUUUCAUUUGUGCACUUUCACUCGUUAUUUCUUCCCCAGUACCUAAUGGGGGCUGCAGCGUGUACUCUGUUUGUGGUUAAAUUCUGCUGCCAGAAGUUUCCUCCAGCUCCUGAUGCCCCGAACCCCUCCCUCCAGCAUUCCUGUGGCUCAUCUUGCAAACUGAUUAAAAGGUGCUUUGUUGCAAUCUGAUCUUUCAGGACACAUACUGCUAAAAAGCUUUUGAAAUUUUAGUUAAAGCAAAAACAAAAACAAAAAAAUAAGCCUAAACAUCCCCUGAGGGGAAAAUAAUGAAGGAGCUCUUAAGCACUAUUGCAGAUAAUGCUUAAUU